CUAAAUAAAUUAUCUUAAUUAUCGAAAAUUAUAGACCCAUUAGAUCCAAACCACCGGCAAAAAAUGUUUAAACCUAGUUAUUACUAUUAGAAUACACAACCUCUUAUAUUCCCAAUCAAAUUUUUUUUUCAUCCAAUAUGAAACUACUAACCGUUUGGUUCGGGUAUAAGCAAGAACUAGCUAUUACAGGAAUAGGUACAAGUAUGGGGAUAAGAAAAAUAGUGUUUGGAUGAAAAUUGGGUAGUUCCCGGGGAUAAGAACAAUUUUAGAUAGUUUUAUAUAGAAAAUGAAGGUGUUGGUGGAGAUAACCGAGAACUACUAUUCUCAGGUAAAAAAUUAGUGUUUGGAUAUAAAGAAGGGGAUAAGGGCCUAUUCCUAUUCCUAUCCCCUAA
rnacentral:lncRNA from 1 species